rnacentral:pre_miRNA from 1 species
CCUUUCGCGGAAAAAGGUGUGUAUCUAUGUAUACAUACAUACAUACAUAGAUGCACACCUUUUUCCCCGAAAGG